rnacentral:ncRNA from 1 species
CCACGGACUUGAUUGUAUUGAGCCUUGGUAUAGAAACCUGCUAAGUGAUAACUUUCAAAUUUAGAGAAAUCCUGGAAUGAAAUUAAAAUGGGCAAUCCUGAGCCAAAUACCUUUUUUUAAAAAAAACAAGUGGUUCUCAAACUAGAGCCCAAAGAAAAAGGAUAGGUGUAGAGACUCAAUGAAUGCUGUUUUAACGAAUCGAAGUAAUUACGUUAUGUUGCCCUUGAAAUACAAGAGAAGAAGGGUCACUCCGCUUAUUGCUGCCACGCAAGG